AGCUAACUGACGAGUCCCAAAUAGGACGAAAUGCACAUCCUGGAU
rfam:Trichobilharzia regenti genome assembly, scaffold: TRE_contig0001317